UCCGUCCCCUCUGGGCAGCAGCGGAUCCGCCGCUCGAGGGCGAGGAGCUGGGCCGACAACGGGCCGCUGCAGACUCUGGUCAGGGUACGAGGCUGCUCCCUGGGGAGCCGGCGCAGGGGGCGCGGAGGGCAACUUCUGUUCCCGAGGUGGUGCCUACAGUACAGCUAUCUCUUCGAAGGCAGUUUGGUUUAGGUCAGAGAAUGUUUAGCCUGGACUGAAUCAGCCUCUGUUUCUGUUUCUGGAAAUCGUCGGUCCUGUGCAUCAAGCCCGGAAAAAAGGAAAUAUGAACCAAAGGACCUGGGGCCUGCAGGGCUAGGAAAAUAUUUGAGAAGAGGUUCAGUGGGGAAAUGACUGUUUGUCUGUGGGGCGUCCAGGCAAGCAACCCAGCUGCUAGAAAGCGGCGCUGUCCCCAGGGUGGCCUCGGCGGUCCCGUCGGAGUCGGGGGAACAAGGACAAGGCAGGGUGAAGCAUCUGGCCUGCCGUGUGGACCGUGACUGUACAAAGCACGUGUGAUGCACUGCAAGUUUACCUGUUUAAACUGUGAGUUAAAGAAGGUGUGCAGUUGCUUUGUAAACAGCCGACGCUCUAAAGCUACACCCAUCUAAUUGCUAGCUGUAUUAAAUCUAUCGUAUUGCUGUUUCUGCAUUAAAAAAGAAAAAAGAAAAAAACCAACACACCUAUGUAAGCACGUCUAAGUACAAUGGAAAACCACUGUUUAA